GGAUAACAUACCGAAAGGUAUGAAGGCACAUGACUUUGACUCAUGUAUGCGUAGGUUCGAGUCCUGCAUCCCCA
rnacentral:tRNA from 1 species